GGGGAGUUCGCAUAGCGGCAAUUGCGGCGGACUGUAAAUCCGCUCCUUAUAGGUUCGGGGGUCCGAGUCCCUCACUCCCCA
rnacentral:tRNA from 1 species